CCUAGAAGGCGAAGCGCCGGGCGUCGCGCCCCGAGCCCCGGCUCUGAAUGGAAGGCUCGAGAGCGGCGGCGCCGGGCGGGCGGUGAGGCCCCGACUCCGCCCGCCCCGCGCGCCAUGGGAGCGGCGAGGCCCGGAGCCCACCCCGAGGACGGCGGCGCGCGGAGGUGGCCGGGGCCCGGGGGCGGGCGGCGGGGCCGGGCGGGGUCUGCGGCGCGCUCGUCCCUGGACCCGCCUCGGAGGCCCCCGCGGCGCCAGGCAGGCCCCGAGCCGGCCGCGCGCUCAGCGCUGUCCGCCCGCAGGUGCGGCGCCCCCGGCCCGCGGGCGCGCCAUGGAGGUGCUGCGGCGCUCCUCGCUGCUCGCCGCCGACUUCAGGGACGCCUUUGAGCGCGCGCCCAGCGACAAGGAGCUGGUGGCCCAGGCCAAGGCGCUCGGCCGCGAGUUCGUGCACGCGCGGCUGCUCCGCGCCGGCCUCGCCUGGAGCGCGCCCGAGCGCGCCGCCGCGGCCCCUGGGGGCCGCCUGGCCGAGGUGUGCGCGGUGCUGCUGCGCCUAGGGGACGAGCUGGAGCUGAUGCGGCCCAGUGUCUACCGCAAUGUGGCCCGUCAGCUGAACCUGUCCUUGCAGUCCGAGGCCGUGGUGACCGACGCCUUCCUGGCCGUGGCGGCCCAGAUCUUCUCUGCAGGCAUCACGUGGGGCAAGGUGGUGUCCCUGUACGCUGUGGCUGCGGGGCUGGCCGUGGACUGUGUGCGGCACUCCCAGCCUGCCAUGGUCCACGCGCUCGUGGACUGCCUGGGCGAGUUUGUGCGCAAGACCCUGGCCACCUGGCUGCGGCGGCGCGGCGGCUGGACCGACGUCCUCAAGUGUGUGGUCAGCACCGACUCCGGGCUCCGCGCCCACUGGCUGGUGGCCACGCUCUGCAGCUUUGGCCGCUGCCUGAAGGCCGCCUUCCUCCUGCUGCUGCCCGAGAGAUGAGCCACCCACCUGGAAGCCCGUGGCCCCUGGAGAGCAUCCCCCUCCUGCUGCUCCCACCCUCGGAGACCUGCCUCGCUGCUGGAGGGGCUGCCCUGAGCCCUGGACCCCACAGACCCAGGCCCUUUGGAAGGGCAAUGAGGCUGGUGGGUGAGCCACUGAAGGGAAAGACUAGAAGCUUGUAACGGACAGACAGAUGGACGGAAAGAGAAAGAAGUAAGAAACCACAUUAUUUUCAAAUGGACACAGCCCAGAUUCAGGCUGCAGAAUCCAGGCCUUGUGUGGAUUUCUGCCGCAUGUUCUCCCACAGCUUGGUUCACUGGGGGGCUCCCGGGGAAGGGUCUGCCCAGGCUCUGGGCCCGCUCACCUGUGCCACGUGGGGCUCCUUGGCAAAGGAGAUCCUGGCGAUGGAGUGCGACGCAAUCGACAGCUCCUGCCCGUUCACCUCGCCCUCCUCCACCUCCACGAUGCCUGGAAGGAGCGGGCUGCGUCAGUGCGCUAUGGGGCCACCGGGGCUCCCCGGGCACACACGCCUGCCUGCGCUGUGUCCUUGGCUGCGUGGGUCUUACCAGAGUUGUUCAGACUCAAGGAUUCUGGGGGAGACCUGAGCUUUGCAGCUGUGGAGGUGACACAGUUCCUCCUGCCUGCGGCUGACCUCCCCAAUGGCAAGGGGACCUCUCUCCCUACUGCUCGUGGACAGGGCCCCUUGGAGCCGGCUGUGAAGCUGCCCCAUGUGGCCUGCACUGCCAGGGGAGGGAGAUGAGCGCAGCGGAACGGACGCCUGGCUUCUGCCCAACCUCCGGGCCCCACCCCAGGCAACUCUGACCAUCUGCUGCUGCCAGGGAGACCCCUGGGAGCCAGCAAGGUGAUGUGAGGCCAGCACAGGCUCGAGUAAUUUUUAGUCAAUGAACUCAGUUGAGUUAAAUAUUUUAGAGCGAAACACACCGGGGUAAACCAGCAGUCAGCCAGUGACCUCCAGAAUUCCCUGCUCUGAUUGCCACUGCACCCCAACCCGAGCCCCAGGGGAGCAGCUGAGCACGUGGCCACAGCAGGAGGAAGCCUGCAGGGCAGCACUCCUGACGGGCAAGAUGCAGCUCGCGAGGAGGAAGCCGGCCUGCUUGCACCCCACAGCUGCCACGGGUGCUGCUCGUGGGCCAUCCCCACCCCCCGCCUGGCCGUGUCACCUGUGUUCUGGGCGCUGACGAAGGCCACCUUGUUGGUGUCAGGCUGGAGGCGGAUGAAGCCGCACUCCCUGUGCAUCGGCCUCUUGGUGUCCGCGUGGAAGGCGCUGAACCUGCAGACACAGGAGGUGUGCGCCCGGCAGAGGCCGUUGGAUGGCGCGCUCUCAGACAGCCCCUCCAGGUCCCCCUCGGCGUGAACAAACGCACACUCCUCGCACGUUUGGAAGCACAGAAACGUCAAGACCACGGGGCCUGGAAGGGAGCCUGGGGGGCCCCGAGCAUGGGGGGGCUCUCAUCGGAGUACGGUGGGGAGGCUGGGCCCACUCCCUCCGACUGGGAGCGGCCCUCACCGCCCACCUCCCACCCACUGCCCACUCCCACCCACCACCCACCCUCACAACGCCCUCCCACCUGCCACCCGCUGGCCUCCACGGAGGAAGGGGUGGCCUAGGGGCUUAUGGACGAGAAUGGUGCAGCACUUGGGGGAUAGAGGCUGUGGCAACCCAAAGCUGAGUGAACCUGGGGAGGACCACCUGCUGGGAACCACGCUUGUGAUCUACUUUCCGGGAACGGUGUGCGCUCUUUAAGCACACUAAAAGAACCAAGUGCUGCAUUUUCCCCCAGGUUACUGUUUGUCUUCUGAUCGUACUCAGGGCAUUUUAAAAAACCCCUGUGGUGUUAGUCAGGAUAUUUCCCAUUUAUUUUUCUUUCCCUUCACCAAUCCUCUUCUCAGCUGUAUCUAAUCUGUGGUUAAACCCAUUUAUUGAAUUAAUUUCAGUUACUGUACUUUUUAGUUUAGACUUUCCAUUGGGGAAAUGUGAAAAUGGUCUGGGUAUUAGCAGAAAGGAAACAUGCUGAAAGAGAAAGAUGGCAAAUUUUUGACUGUAAACAAGCAUGAUUUGAAAUAAACAUAAUAUGACCUCAGUUUAGGAAAAAAGAAAAAAAAAAGGGAUGCAUGUGUGCAUGUACGUGUGCAA